rnacentral:rRNA from 1 species
UACAGAGGUCCCGAGCGUUGUUCGGAUUCACUGGGCGUAAAGGGUGCGUAGGUGGCGAUGAAAGUUCGAUGUGAAAUCUCCGGGCUUAACCCGGAAAGGCAUUGAAACUAUGUUGCUUGAGGUUUGGAGGGGACUGGAAUUCUUGGUGUAGCAGUGAAAUGCGUAGAUAUCAAGAGGAACACCAGUGGCGAAGGCGGGUCCCUGGACAACACCUGACGCUGAGACGCGAAAGCGUGGGUAGCAAACAGG